CCCAGCGAAUGUUUCCCACGUACUCCACGCCCUCGCUGAUCUGGAGCGCUCGUCGUCUGGAAAAAAAAAAGAAACAAGUUUCCCAGAAUUUUCGUAUUUAAGAGGAUCAGGCUGUUUCUCGCCUUUCCGUUAAACCUGAUCGAACUUACUCCCAAAAUUCUUUAACCGGGUCGGGGUUCACGCAGUUCUUCGUGUUCCAGGCGUUAUUGCAGCUUCCCCAAGUUACAGUAAAACGAACCGCUACGCAUAGACAUGAAGAAGUAGAAGAUAGCCCAGGCAAGGAUCACGAUAUAGUAGACGUUCAUCCAACAGGACAUGACAGCUGCAGCGUAUCCAAUACCCUUAAAAAGCGGCGC